UACAGAGGGGGCAAGCGUUGUUCGGAAUUACUGGGCGUAAAGGGCGCGUAGGCGGCCUUUCAAGUCAGACGUGAAAUCCCCCGGCUUAACCUGGGAACUGCGUCUGAUACUGGGAGGCUCGAGUAUGGGAGAGGGAUGUAGAAUUCCAGGUGUAGCGGUGAAAUGCGUAGAGAUCUGGUGGAAUACCGGUGGCGAAGGCGGCAUCCUGGACCAUAACUGACGCUGAGGCGCGAAAGAUAGGGGAGCAAACGGG
rnacentral:rRNA from 1 species